CGUGAAUGAAACCUUUUUCCAGAAAGCCAAAGUUAAUUUAUUUCAAACAUGAUCCAACAAGACACUUCAGUGCAGAAUGCUCAGAAAUGUGAUAUGUAAGCAGGGAUUAUGGAGAAAUGACAUCUUAAGAUGCGAAGCGGGGUUGGUGGGGGAAGGGGGAAUUGCAGGUGGAGCAAGGUCCAGCAGCGUGCAGUGAGAGAACUGAAAAGAGAGGGGAAAUAUCAGAAUACAUCACUAAAGAUAAGAAUGUGAUCUAUGCAGAAAAGGCUGAUAUGUGGAACCAGGAACCUUUCAGACAGAUGGGAGGGCAUCUGACUCUGACCUGGCUUGCUGUGCUCAUUUAGGCAGCUGAAUUGCCCAGCAAGCUGCAAGUUGUCAGCUCCAGUAGAUUCUGUUUCUCUGCUUCUCCCCUGUCGACCAGUCAACUACCCAAGCUCUGAUAAAUCUCUGUCUAAAUCAUCAAUCAACUGAAUUGUUAUUUUGGCAUGACUGUACUGUCGCUAACGUUUGAAAAUAAUUUUGCAGGUGUUAUUGCUCCUAUUCAGUGAUGGUAUCAGCUGAUUUUGAAAAACAAAUAUGUCAAAUUGAAGAUGGUCUCAAAACUAAUUGCUAUAUUCAGCUGGAGAAUUCAGCAGUAUUGAAAGUUGUGUGUGUCUGUAUUGCAAAGUUGCUUGGAAUAGCAAGUUGUUUUUAAAAAAGCUUCUUUAAACUGCUGAAUAAAAACCAUUGCUUUCAUUGUUAACUUUAUCGUUUAGCAGAGAAGGACAGAGUUGUUCAAAUUGUAUGCAAUGUAUUUCAGUAGUA